UUUUUUUUUUUUUUUUUACCACAUAGACAAUGAAAGGACCUGCCUAGCAGGUGGCUCACAGUGAACCCUCUGUUUAUGCUUGCAGAAAAAAGAAAGACAGAAAAAUAAACAAAAGAAAAAGAGAAGAAAUCAAGGAAAAAAGGAAGAAAAGAAGGAAAAAAGAAAGAUCAGUGUAUAUACUAAGAAGGAAUAUUAUAAAUUCAAAACACUAUUUGCAGGAGAAAACAAAACAAAACUUUGCUUUGCUAUUUCAUACCUUGGGCCUGAAUUUGAAGGGCCAAAUAUUGUAAGCGAUUGUAAAAAAUUCCCUAGAAGGGUGCAUUUAAGUGGACAUGGUGAUUUCUUCCUUUCCAAGACGCAAGAAUUUUACAGAAAAACAAAGUACUCAAGAGUAAUAGAAGAAGAAAGGAACAUUUUGUAAUAGAAUUCUUACCCUUGUAGUUUAUAUUUAUGGUUUAGAAGCUUGAUUCCUUUAAAACAAGAUGUAUGAGUGUCUUCCAUGUGCAAGGUAUUUUGCUGGGCACUGAAAAUAUAUAAACUGGAUCUAAUUUCAGCUCCUGUUAUUUUAGACAUUACGAUUUGUUUUCUUGUGGAACAUCAAGACAAUAAUUUACAGCCUUCCUGCUGAAUUUUACUUGUUUCUAUUUUUCUCUCAUGCUAAUAGUCAUGAGAAUCACUCAAGUGCUUCCUUAUCUUACUAUUGCAAGAACUUUCAAGUUCUUUAGAAAACCCAGUUCUUUCUCUUAAGAAAACAAAUCUUAAUUCAUUGGGGAAGCAUGACAUACAUUUAUUGUAUAUACGAUCUGAGCCCCCAUCAAUUGGAAUUGCCGGACAUUUGGACAGAGGCUAGGCUGAAGUUCAACUUUAUUUCGUCUUUGAUCAAAGAGCUUACUAAAUGGAAGUAAACAAUACUUUAGAGAAAGAUUUACAUUUUUUCAAGGAAAAAACUUAUUUAAACUGAGUGUCACACUUCUCAAGCAAAUUAUUUAUGUUAAGUGCAUGCUAUUCCAACUCUUUAUAAAAGCAGCUCAUGAUGGAUCUCAACCUGAGAGCACUUUAUAAAGCACUUAGUGUGCUACAAUUCCUUUUUUCCUGAAAAAUGAAUGUUUUCUUUAAAUAUUAAUCUUAAUAUAUAACUCAGACACACAGUCUUCUUGGCUUAUUUAAUUUUUGAGGUCUGAUUGCAAAAAUUGACAAGAACAUGUAAAUGUAUUUACAAUCUAGGUACUUAUGGGGUUGCAAAGUGACAGCAGUUAGUGGAGGAGGGAUGAUUAUAAGAUGCUGUGU
rnacentral:lncRNA from 1 species